GGGGAAUAUUGCACAAUGGGCGAAAGCCUGAUGCAGCAACGCCGCGUGAGUGAUGAAGGUCUUCGGAUUGUAAAGCUCUGUCUUUUGGGACGAUAAUGACGGUACCAAAGGAGGAAGCCACGGCUAACUACGUGCCAGCAGCCGCGGUAAUACGUAGGUGGCGAGCGUUGUCCGGAUUUACUGGGCGUAAAGGGUGCGUAGGCGGAUGUUUAAGUGAGAUGUGAAAUACCCGGGCUUAACUUGGGUGCUGCAUUUCAAACUGGAUAUCUAGAGUGCAGGAGGAGGAGAAUGAUUCCUAGUGUAGCGGUGAAAUGCGUAGAGAUUAGGAAGAACACCAGUGGCGAAGGCGAUUCUCUGGACUGUAACUGACGCUGAGGCACGAAAGCGUGGGUAGCAAACAGGAUUAGAUACCCUGGUAGUCCACGCCGUAAACGAUGAGUACUUGGUGUAGGAGGUAUCGACCCCUUCUGUGCCGCAGUAAACACAUUAAGUACUCCGCCUGGGAAGUACGAUCGCAAGAUUAAAAC
rnacentral:rRNA from 1 species